rnacentral:lncRNA from 1 species
AAAUAAAUCAGUAACUGAAAAUUAGGGUGUUUUUUUAUAUAAGAGGCAGCAUUAAAUCUCUUUAAACAGUACUUACUACUAAUUGAUUAAUAUAUAAUUCACAUAUUAUUAAAAAGUGUUGAUAAAACCCGAAGGAAACCUUCUUUUCUUUCCCAUCAUUCAUUUUUCACCAGUUUUUAUGUUUCUAAUGUGUGUUUUAUGCUGAUCAGGGAUCAGGACAUUAUGGGAGUUAACUUGUGAUAAUGGCAGUAAAGGGUAGAAAAGUUGAUUGUAGACUGCAAAGUUAGCAGUCCAAACAUUUGACCAAAGUAUUGGGUUCCAGAGCAUCCCCAUAGCUUCUCUUCACAGCUUCACUGCUGCAAUUCAGACUGGUGCCCAGCUAUGGGAGGUCAGCUGCACUGCAGCCUGAGAAAAGAAGGGGAAUUAUAAAAACCAAUUAAUGCUGAUUGUGCUAGGACAUUGUAAUACAGUGCUUGUAAUUAGAAUAAUUUCAAACAAGCCUUGAAACUAUUCUUAAAAUUGCUUCAUUUUACAUCAAAGAGAAAAAUGUUAUAAUUUGUUGAACAACCACUGAUUUGAUGAAAUUUUUUUCCCACUCAGAAAUGAACUGGAUUUUAAAGCACAAUGGAAGAACCCAACUGUCUGAGAGAGCUGCCCAUGGGUGUUGUAAAGAUCAUUUCCAACAAUAAAAUCCAAUUUAAACUUUUAUGAUAAAAGUGUAGAAGAGCUUAAAAAUAGCUCAGGUAUUUUUCUAGAGAAGGUGAUGUCAUUCUUUCCAUCAGCAGAAAGAAUAUUUUACUCAUGCUUUAGUCUUUGUU